AACGAACGCUGGCGGCAGGCCUCAAACAUGCAAGUCUAGGGGGUGUAGCAAUACAUCACCGGCGGACGGGUGCGUAACGCGUGGGAAUAUACCUAUCGAUUCGGAACAACUGAGGGAAACUUCAGCUAAUACCGAAUACGUCCUAACGGAGAAAGAUUUAUCGUCGAUAGAUUAGCCCGCGUUCGAUUAGCUAGUUGGUGGGUAACGGCCCACCAAGGCGACGAUCGAUAGCUGUUCUGAGAGGAAGAUCAGCCACACUGGGACUGAGACACGGCCCAGACUCCUACGGGAGGCAGCAGUUGGGAAUCUUGGACAAGUGGGGGAAACCCUGAUCCAGCCAUGCCGCGUGAGUGAUGAAGGCCUUAGGGUUGUAAAGAUCUUUCAGUGGGGAAGAUAAUGACGGUACCCACAGAAGAAGCCCCGGCUAACUCCGUGCCAGCAGCCGCGGUAAU
rnacentral:rRNA from 1 species